AACAUCGUAUCAUGACUAUAAAUUCGCGUGGGUGACGAUACAGAAUCGAAUCCAACGUUUCGGAGAGCAAAAUGGCUUUUGACGAUUGUUUUUCCGGUGAACGUUAUUCGUAAUGAAUGCGUUAUAUAUAUAUAUAUAUCAACUGACGUCAAUGUAUUAUUGUAUACGAGAUUUACUUGAUCCCGGAGCUCUGGCCUGAGGCGAAUUUUUCUUUAA